CACAUGCAAGUCAAGGGGAACGAUAUUGGAAGCUUGCUUCCGAUAGGCGUCGACCGGCGCACGGGUGAGUAACGCGUAUCCAACCUGCCCACCACUUGGGGAUAACCUUGCGAAAGUAAGACUAAUACCCAAUGACGUCUCUAGAAGACAUCUGAAAGAGAUUAAAGAUUUAUCGGUGAUGGAUGGGGAUGCGUCUGAUUAGCUUGUUGGCGGGGUAACGGCCCACCAAGGCUACGAUCAGUAGGGGUUCUGAGAGGAAGGUCCCCCACAUUGGAACUGAGACACGGUCCAAACUCCUACGGGAGGCAGCAGUGAGGAAUAUUGGUCAAUGGACGAGAGUCUGAACCAGCCAAGUAGCGUGCAGGAUGACGGCCCUAUGGGUUGUAAACUGCUUUUAUAAGGGAAUAAAGUGAGUCUCGUGAGACUUUUUGCAUGUACCUUAUGAAUAAGGACCGGCUAAUUCCGUGCCAGCAGCCGCGGUAAUACGGAAGGUCCGGGCGUUAUCCGGAUUUAUUGGGUUUAAAGGGAGCGUAGGCCGGAGAUUAAGCGUGUUGUGAAAUGUAGACGCUCAACGUCUGCACUGCAGCGCGAACUGGUUUCCUUGAGUACGCACAAAGUGGGCGGAAUUCGUGGUGUAGCGGUGAAAUGCUUAGAUAUCACGAAGAACUCCGAUUGCGAAGGCAGCUCACUGGAGCGCAACUGACGCUGAAGCUCGAAAGUGCGGGUAUCGAACAGGAUUAGAUACCCUGGUAGUCCGCACGGUAAACGAUGGAUGCCCGCUGUUGGUCUGAAUAGGUCAGCGGCCAAGCGAAAGCAUUAAGCAUCCCACCUGGGGAGUACGCCGGCAACGGUGAAACUCAAAGGAAUUGACGGGGGCCCGCACAAGCGGAGGAACAUGUGGUUUAAUUCGAUGAUACGCGAGGAACCUUACCCGGGCUUGAAUUGCAGA
rnacentral:rRNA from 1 species